AUAUAAAAUUAAAGAUAUUUUAAAUUGUUAAAUGUUAUAAUUCUAGAUGUUUAUUUAAAUGCUGCGUGCCUUUUGACGUGUUCUAUGGUUUCAAUAUGGGCGUACGUGCGCGAGUCGCAUUCAAAUCUGAUUCAAAGACAGGAGCGCGCGCGAGCAGAUGGAAACCAUGGAAACGAGGAAACCCAUCAACUGACAAACAGCAGCGUCUCUCACUGUUGUUUUCUCUGCUUUCAGAUCAUCAUAGAUGUCCUGCUGCACCCCCUGGGGUCCAAGACAAUCUCCACGGCUAUGACCUCGACUAUAGGGGUUAUGGCUGUGCUCUUGUUACCAGAUGAGAUAUCAUUUGAUCCUGUGAUUCUUCAGGACAAGAUCUUGAUGCCAUCCACACCCAGUACAUGACGAAGGUUUUCUGGGAUCCACAGUGGAAGGCAUCAAGGCGUGAGAUGUUGGCUGGACAGAUGUACCUGUACACCACACCGACCUCUGCUUUUACAUGGAUGGCGGAUUACUAUCAUGUUCUGUAAAGGUUUCAUUAUAGCAAAACAGAGCACCUGUGACAGUGGAAUCUGUAGGUGUAACGUAGUCAGUUAAAAGUAGUCAGGUGUAAAGUAGUCACAGAGAGAACGUUUUUUUUUUUUUAAGUUUCAAACUUUUUUCUCUUUCACAAAAAACACUGCAGUUACAGCUUUUCAAAUUCUUCAUUGGAGGUGUACAAAUAAUUUUCUUUUU